rnacentral:rRNA from 1 species
CCUCAGUAACUGCGAGUGAAGCGGCAAAAGCUCAAAUUUGAAAUCUGGUACCUUUGGGUGCUCGAGUUGUAAUUUGGAGAGGCAACUUCGAAGGAGGCGCUGGCCUAAGUUCCUUGGAACAGGACGUCACAGAGGGUGAGAAUCCCGUGCUUGGCUGGCUGUCCUCCUUCAUGUGAAGUGUCUUCGACGAGUCGAGUUGUUUGGGAAUGCAGCUCAAAAUGGGUGGUAAACUCCAUCUAAGGCUAAAUAUUGGCGAGAGACCGAUAGCGCACAAGUAGAGUGAUCGAAAGAUGAAAAGCACUUUGAAAAGAGAGUUAAACAGUACGUGAAAUUGUUGAAAGGGAAGCGCUUGAGACCAGACUCGGUGAUAGGUGAUCAGCGGUUGCUUUUGCUCCGUGCACUUGCCUUUUAUCGGGCCAGCAUCAGUUGCGACGGUGGGAUAAAGACUCAGGGAAUGUGGCUCUCUUCGGGGAGUGUUAUAGCCCUGGGUGUAAUGCCACCUGUUGCGACUGAGGACCGCGCUUCGGCUAGGAUGCUGGCAUAAUGGUCUUCAGCGACCCGUCUUGAAACACGGACCAAGGAGUCUAACAUCUAUGCGAGUGUUCGGGUGUAAAACCCCUACGCGUAAUGAAAGUGAACGGAGGUGGGAACUC